rnacentral:rRNA from 1 species
GACGAACGCUGGCGGCGUGCUUAACACAUGCAAGUCGAACGGAAAGGCCUGCUUUCCCUUGUGGAUUGCGGGUACUCGAGUGGCGAACGGGUGAGUAACACGUGAGUGAUCUGCCCCCAACUUGGGUAUAAGCCUGGGAAACUGGGUCUAAUUCCCGAUAGGACUGCAGGGUGGUGCCUGUGGUGGAAAACGAUUUUCUAGUGGUUGGGGAUGAGCUCGCGGCCUAUCAGCUUGUUGGUGGGGUAAUGGCCUACCAAGGCGGCGACGGGUAGCCGGCCUGGGAGGGUGGACGGCCGAAUUGGGACUGGGAUACGGCCCAGACUCCUACGGGAGGCAGCAGUGGGGAGUAUUGCACAAUGGGCGGAAGCCUGAUGCAGCGACGCCGCGUGGGGGAUGACGGCCUUCGGGUUGUAAACUCCUUUCGACCGCGAGGAAGCCACCUGGUUGGAAGGGUGGUGACGGUAGUGGUAGAAGAAGCACCGGCUAACUACGUG